UCGUUGUCCAACAAGCAACUCAAGAAAAGAAAAACUUAAAAGGCUAAGAACUCAUUAUAAUUCACCAUCUCUUUUUAUUUUUAAUCGUGACAAUGCCAAAAAAUGAAAUUCUUCAAGCAGGAAAAGUUCAAGAACCUCAAAAUAAUGACAAUACCAGGACGUGGUCAACCGACAACCAACAAUUCGAUGCAGGGAAAGAAUUCAAAGGAAUCAAAAUGGACAUGCAGAAGGUCAACUGUAGUAGGUUUAAUGAAGAAGUAAUGGGCAAAUUUUCCAUUUGGAAAAGAAGUGGUCUGCAAUAUUAAACUAAACGUUCUACACCAGGUAUUGCUUAAACCUACCUUAGAUAUACAAGGUCGAGAACUCCCAUGAAAAUGAUUAAAUAAUAAUAAUAAUAAUAUAUUAUUCAUCAAUGUAGAAGAUAGGUGGUGUAUUAUACCUCCACCAAGUAAAACCAAAAUCAAGGAAGACAAGAAGUUAUAUUAUUAAAAAAAAUAUCCCAAGGACCAAGCGUGUGAAACAGAUUCUCCUGUUUCAGUCAUGGCUGGACCAGGUGACUGUAGUUUUUUCCUUCACAGAGGAGACUGAUGGUUUACAUGCACCAUGGUCUUUAGCAAUGACUUCCUUUGAUUGAAAUAAGCCUGACCUGAAGCUAAACAAAUUUUCUUUGCUUAUACAAACAGGAAAGUUGCUAGAUAUAAGGUCAAAGCUACAUUGUCUUGGAGGAUAAACAGGCAACUCUCUCGGUCAACCAUAAAUAUUCCCUACGUACCAUGGCCGGCUGAAAGCAUUUUUAAAAAAAAAAAAAAGAAAAAAUUCAAGGUCUCUCUUCUAUAUUUAGCAGCUGGAAAAACUAUAAUUAUCAGCCUGAGGGCAGAUUCCUCAUACAGGUUCAAAUAUUCUAAUCUUUACCUCUAUUUGAUCAACCGUACGGAAAAUGAAAACAAUGUAAAAAGUAAAGAAUUAUAUAAAAAUUGUUUGGCAAUUGGAACCCUGUCAAAAUUCGCCUACUUUUUAGUAUUUUCAUUGUUUCUGCUUUGACCUGGCAGCAGAUGGAAUUAUGUAUUAUGUUUGUUCAAUGUACUCUAUGAUCUCUAUUAAUCAAGGAGGUCAUGAUAGGGUCAGUGGUAAAAUAUAUUCGGAGAUUGUCAGAAAAAAAAGAUAAGAAAACCAAUGAAAUUCAUAAAGG
rnacentral:lncRNA from 1 species